rnacentral:misc_RNA from 1 species
GACCCAUUUGAAGUACGAGAAGAAUCCUAAGAUAAAGGAGGCAAUUACCCAGAAAUUUACUGAGUAUUUACGCCGGGCGGAGGAGAUUCGGGCUGUGUUGGAUGAGGGUGGGAGUGGGCCUGGUCCAAAUGGAGGAGAUGCUGCUGUAAUUGCUAAGCCUAAGACUAAGCCUAAGGAUGGUGAGGAUGGUGAGGAUCCUGAGCAGUCUAAGCUAAGGGCUGGGCUUAAUUCAGCAAUUGUUAGAGAAAAACCUAAUGUGAAGUGGAAU